GGCGCGAUAGUACAAUGGAUAGUACAUGAGUUUCCGGAGCCCAGGAUGAAGGUUCGAUUCCUUCUCGCGCUA
rnacentral:tRNA from 1 species